GAACUAUUUAGUCAACAUGUUUGGUCAUUGUUUCUUUAACAGCUUGUACCAUGAUGAGAAUAAGUCUCACACUUCAGCUGAACACCAGGUGGUUUCUCCUGUUGCUGUAGACCUGCUGUUGAGAUGGAAACCUGGCUGUAGAUUAUUAUUGCUGCACUUCUAUCUGGGCUGAUAGCUGGGGACUCCACCUCUCCUGAUAAACAGGAAAUCAGUGGGAAAGAGGGAGCAUCUGUAACACUCAGAUGCUCCUAUGAAACAAGCUUUAAUAAUGUUGACCUUUACUGGUACAGACAUCGUUCUAACCAGGCUCCUCAGUUUAUACUCU
ensembl:lncRNA